GAGGUGGCUGCAUUGCCAGUGGGUGCAAA
rnacentral:piRNA from 1 species